UACGUAGGUGGCAAGCGUUGUCCGGAAUCAUUGGGCGUAAAGAGCGCGUAGGUGGCUUGUCAGGUCUGAUGUGAAAUUUCGGGGCUCAACCCCGAACGUGCAUCGGAAACCGGCUUGCUAGAGUCUGGGAGAGGAGAGUGGAAUUCCUGGUGUAGCGGUGAAAUGCGUAGAUAUCAGGAGGAACACCGGUAGCGAAGGCGGCUCUCUGGAACAGUACUGACGCUGAGGCGCGAAAGCUAGGGGAGCGAACAGG
rnacentral:rRNA from 1 species